UACAGAGGUCUCAAGCGUUGUUCGGAUUCAUUGGGCGUAAAGGGUGCGUAGGCGGCGCGGUAAGUCGGGGGUGAAAUCUCGGAGCUUAACUCCGAAACUGCAUUCGAUACUGCCGUGCUUGAGGACUGGAGAGGAGACUGGAAUUUACGGUGUAGCGGUGAAAUGCGUAGAUAUCGAGAGGAACACCUGCGGCGAAGGCGGGUUGCUGGGCUGACACUGACGCUGAUGCGCGAAAGCCAGGGGAGCGAACGGG
rnacentral:rRNA from 1 species